GACGAACGCUGGCGGCGUGCUUAACACAUGCAAGUCGAACGGAAAGGCCCUGCUUUUGUGGGGUGCUCGAUUGGCGAAGGGGGGAGUAACACGUGAGUAACCUGCCCUUGACUUUGGGAUAACUUCAGGAAACUGGGGCUAAUACCGGAUAGGAUCUCUUGCUGCAUGGGGGGGGUUGGAAAGUUUCGGCGGUUGGGGAUGGACUCGCGGCUUAUCAGCUUGUUGGUGGGGUAGUGGCUUACCAAGGCUUUGACGGGUAGCCGGCCUGGGAGGGUGACCGGCCACAUUGGGACUGAGAUACGGCCCAGACUCCUACGGGAGGCAGAAGUGGGGAAUAUUGCACAAUGGGCGGAAGCCUGAUGCAGCAACGCCGCGUGCGGGAUGACGGCCUUCGGGUUGUAAACCGCUUUCGCCUGUGACGAAGCGUGAGUGACGGUAAUGGGUAAAGAAGCACCGGCUAACUACGUG
rnacentral:rRNA from 1 species